UCCCUCCUCUCCCUCCUCCCUCUCUCUCUCUCUCUCUCUCGUUUUUCUCUUCCUUUCUCUUUCUCUCUCACCCUCUCUGUGCAACUCUCUUGGUCAUUCUCCUCUCUCUGUGCAACUCUUUCCUAUCCAGUAUUUUGCUCUGCAAAUUCCAUCCACCUUUGCCUCUGAAUUCUCAACUCCGUCUCCUCAGCGCAGGAAGACCUUCAGACUCCCAGCACGGUGGCCAGGAAACACUCUGCAAGCAAUGAUAUUUAAAGCAAUUGGACUGGAUGCACCAUCUAGAGCGUGUGUGUGGCUGAAGAAGAGAAGAAGCUCAAAGGUCUGAUUCUUUCAGGAUCCUAAGGAGGCUCUCCAGCAUCUGAAAGUUGAGAAAAAAUUGCCACAAUCACUCAGCCUUCAACAGCUACCACCCUGAUAAGUCAGCAGCCAGCAUCGUGGAAGCAGGACCCUCUACCAGCAAAAAGAUUAUGACUCACUGCAGGCUCGGAGGAUUGUUACUGUCUUUUUUUUUUUUUUUUUUAGCAAUGAAGUAAGUUUUAAUUAAAGCAUGUAUAUUGUUCUUGUAGACAUAAUGCUAUCGUAUACUUAAUAGACUACAAUAUAGUGUAAACAUAACUUUUGUAUGCACUAGGAAGCCAAAAUAUUCUUGUGACUCCCUUUAUCAUUAUAUUUACUUUAUUGCAAUGAUGUGGAACCAAACCCACAAUAUCCUGAGGUGUGUCUGUAUUUUGUAGCAUGUUCCUUAAUUUAGGUUUGUGUUAUGACUCCCAAUUGUUAAACUCAGGUUUCACAUUUUUAGCAAGAACAUCACAGAGGCGAGGUACCAUCUGUGUACAUCCUACUAGGAAACUUACAAUAUUGAUAUGUCUCCUUAAUGAGAAUGUUAUCUUUAUUCAACUCAUUAAGGUAGGGUUUGCUGGGGUUUUAUUCAUUGUAAAGAUACUAUUUUCCUCUUUCUAAAUAGGUGUCUUGUGGAAAUACUUUUUGACUGUGUAAAUAUUCUGUUUCCCACCACACUUUUGCCUGCAAUUUUCAAUAUCCAUUGAUGAUGCUUGACUGCAAAAAAUUAUUACUGUGGGAUUUGCUAAAAUGGUCAUCUUUGAUUUUCAAGAUUAUAUCUUUGUCUAAUAAUUGAAAUUCAACUGUGAGGAAGAGCUUCUAUUCCUCCCCUUUUAUUUAUUAAUUCGUGUAUUUAUAUUCAAUACAGACUUGUGAAUAUUUGUAUACUCUCUGGGUUAUAAUUCAUUACUCCCAUUAUAUCUUUUAUUCUUCAAAUUGUCCUAGUUUUGAUAAUUGGGUGCCACUUCAAGUUCCGUCCUAUGACCUUCUAAAAUAUCCCCAUCAUUUUUUGGAGCACUUUCUUCUUUUCUAGGCUGAAAAGAUGUUCCAGGCUCAUCAUGUACUUUAUGUGUCCAGCCUGAGAAUCAGUCAUUUCUUCAAGAAACUCUAGUUCUUUUUAUUGGAGAAUGAUAAUUAGAAAUGAAGAUCUGGGUGCAAGAUGUACUUGGUGUUACUGGUAUUACUGCUUUUAGGCCUCCAUCAGCAAAACUGAGCUAGAAAGUAUAACUAUGAAUAUAUAUUAAUAUUUACACACGUCUGCUUAUAAAUAUAUAUUUAAAUAUAUAUUAAAAUCAUGAGUUCAUGCUGAUUAUUCCAAUCCCAUGUCUGAAUGUAUUCUAGCCUCUGCCCUGUCUCCUGAGGAUCUGGGUGAGAAUUAAAUCCUAGUUUCUUCCCAUUUCAGGUGGCUGCCCAGCAUUGCUAGAGUUCCUUGGCUGUAGCCACAUCACUCCAGUCUCUUUUUAUGCCUUCCCAUCACCUUGUUCUCUGUGUGUCUGAGUGAAACUCCAGGCUGCCUCUUUCUUAGAAGGACCUUUGUAAUUACAUUUAAGGCCUAAUCAGAUAAUCCAGAAUAAUCUUCCCACCUAAACAUUCUAAAUAAUAUUUAUAAACCAUUUUCCCAACUAAGGUAAUAAUCACAGGUUCUGGGGAUUAGGGCAUGAACAAAUCUUUGGGAGCCAUUAUUAGCUUGUCACAGUAACCAGUCUCACUAAUUUCUGG
rnacentral:lncRNA from 10 species